UGAGGAAUAUUGGUCAAUGGGCGCAAGCCUGAACCAGCCAUCCCGCGUGCAGGAAGACAGCGCUAUGCGUUGUAAACUGCUUUUCCAGGGGGAGAAACUUCCGUCCGUGUACGGAAUUGACGGUACCCUGGGAAUAAGCAUCGGCUAACUCCGUGCCAGCAGCCGCGGUAAUCCGGAGGAUGCAAGCGUUAUCCGGAUUCAUUGGGUUUAAAGGGUGCGUAGGCGGACUAUUAAGUCAGUGGUGAAAUCCUGCAGCUUAGAUGCAGAACUGAGAUUGAUACUGAUGGUCUUGAGUUUGGUUAAGGUAGGCGGAAUGUGUAAUGUAGCGGUGAAAUGCUGAGAUAGUACACAGAACACCAAUUGCGUAGGCAGCUUACUGAGCUGACACUGACGAUGAGGCACGAGAGCGUGGGGAU
rnacentral:rRNA from 1 species